rnacentral:rRNA from 1 species
UACGAAGGGAGCUAGCGUUGUUCGGAAUCACUGGGCGUAAAGCGCACGUAGGCGGAUUUGUCAGUCAGGGGUGAAAUCCCGGGGCUCAACCUCGGAACUGCCUUUGAUACAGCAAGUCUUGAGUUCGAGAGAGGUGGGUGGAAUUCCUAGUGUAGAGGUGAAAUUCGUAGAUAUUAGGAGGAACACCGGUGGCGAAGGCGGCUAUCUGGACAGUAACUGACGCUGAGGCGCGAAAGUGUGGGGAUCAAACAGG